GACGAACGCUGGCGGCGUGCUUAACACAUGCAAGUCGAACGGUAAGGCCCUUCGGGGUACACGAGUGGCGAACGGGUGAGUAACACGUGGGUGAUCUGCCCUGCACUUCGGGAUAAGCCUGGGAAACUGGGUCUAAUACCGGAUAGGACCACUGCCUGCAUGGGUGGUGGUGGAAAGCUUUUGCGGUGUGGGAUGGGCCCGCGGCCUAUCAGCUUGUUGGUGGGGUGAUGGUCCACCAAGGCGACGACGGGUAGCCGGCCUGAGAGGGUGACCGGCCACACUGGGACUGAGAUACGGCCCAGACUCCUACGGGAGGCAGCAGUGGGGAAUAUUGCACAAUGGGCGCAAGCCUGAUGCAGCGACGCCGCGUGAGGGAUGACGGCCUUCGGGUUGUAAACCUCUUUCAGCACCGACGAAGCGCAAGUGACGGUAGGUGCAGAAGAAGGACCGGCCAACUACGUGCCAGCCGCCGCGGUAA
rnacentral:rRNA from 1 species